rnacentral:rRNA from 1 species
CUAAACAGCCAUAUCACCCUGCAACUCACAACUGGCAACCCACUGAAGCUAAGCAGGUGUGAGCCUGGUCAGUACCUGGAUGGGAGACCUCCUGGGAAAAACUAAGGUUGCUGCUGGAA